rnacentral:rRNA from 1 species
UGGGAAUUUGGACAAUGGGCGAAAGCCUGAUCCAGCAAUGCCGCGUGUGUGAAGAAGGCCUUCGGGUUGUAAAGCACUUUUGUCCGGAAAGAAAUCCUUGGCUCUAAUACAGUCGGGGGAUGACGGUACCGGAAGAAUAAGCACCGGCUAACUACGUGCCAGCAGCCGCGGUAAUACGUAGGGUGCAAGCGUUAAUCGGAAUUACUGGGCGUAAAGCGUGCGCAGGCGGUUUGCUAAGACCGAUGUGAAAUCCCCGGGCUCAACCUGGGAACUGCAUUGGUGACUGGCAGGCUAGAGUAUGGCAGAGGGGGGUAGAAUUCCACGUGUAGCAGUGAAAUGCGUAGAGAUGUGAGGAAUACCGAUGGCGAAGGCAGCCCCCUGGGCAAUACUGACGCUCAUGCACGAAAGCGUGGGGAGCAAACAGGAUUAGAUACCCUGGUAGUCCACGCCCUAAAACGAUGUCAACUAGUUGUUGGGGAUUCAUUUCCUUAGUAACGUAGCUAACGCGUGAAGUUGACCGCCUGGGGAGUACGGUCGCAAGAUUAAAACUCAAAGGAAUUGACGGGGUCAUAGCUGUUUCCU